rnacentral:rRNA from 1 species
CCUCUUAGUUUGGGAUAGCCAUUGGAAACGAUGAUUAAUACCAGAUACUCCCUACGGGGGAAAGAUUUAUCGCUAAGAGAUCAGCCUAUGUCCUAUCAGCUUGUUGGUAAGGUAAUGGCUUACCAAGGCUAUGACGGGUAUCCGGCCUGAGAGGGUGAACGGACACAUUGGAACUGAGACACGGUCCAAACUCCUACGGGAGGCAGCAGUAGGGAAUAUUGCUCAAUGGGGGAAACCCUGAAGCAGCAACGCCGCGUGGAGGAUGAAGGUUUUAGGAUUGUAAACUCCUUUUGUUAGAGAAGAUAAUGACGGUAUCUAACAAAUAAA